GAUGAACGCUGGCGGCGUGCCUAAUACAUGCAAGUCGAGCGAAAAGACGAGGAGCUUUCUCCUUUGACAUUAGCGGCGGAGGGGUGAGUAACACGUGGGUAACCUACCUAUAAGACUGGGAUAACUUCGUGAAACCGGAUCUAAUACCGGAUAAUAUUUCGAACCGCAUGGUUCGAUAGUGAAAGAUGGCUUUGCUAUCACUUAUAGAUGGACCUGCGCCGUAUUAGCUAGUUGGUAAGGUAACGGCUUACCAAGGCAACGAAGCGUAUCCGACCUGAGAGGGUGAUCGGCCACACUGGCACGGAGACACGUUCCAGACUCCUGCGGGAGGCAGCAGUAGGGACUCUUCCGCAAUGGGCGAGAGCCUGACGUAGCAACGCCGCGGGAGGGCUGAAGGUCUUCGGACCGGAAAACUCUGUUAUUAGUGAAGAACAAACGUGUAAGUAACUGUGCACGUCUUGACGGUACCUAAUCAGAAAGCCACGGCUAACUACGUG
rnacentral:rRNA from 1 species